rnacentral:tRNA from 1 species
GGAGAUUUAUUUUAUUUAAAAUAUA